CAUCCCCGACCUCCUGAUUGCGGAACCCACUUUCCCUCCCUGCAACAAUCAUGUUUUUUUUUUUUUUUUGAUAACCUCUUUCUCUCUCAGAGAUCUUCUACUCUUCCUUUUUAAUUGGUAUGUACAUCGUCGGCCGUAACUGCGCCAUCGAUUAUUUCCGGCGUCGGUUGUUUCCUUACAUAAUAGCCGCCAUAGUUAUCUCUAGUCUCACUGAAUCCUCCCAAAACCCAAAACUCAAAACUGAAAAACAAAAGAAGAAGAAAGAAUCCGUCGACGAGUCAGUUUUCCAACGAUCGAAGACGCGUCACUCGUGGUGUGCUCGACUAUGAACAUGCACAUAAUCCUUCGAUUGUUUUUCAUCUAGUUAGUGUGUCUCUAUAAGAAUUUUACUGGUAUACCAGCAGUGGUUGACCUUGCUUGCAUGAGGGAUUCCAUGAACAAGCUUGGCAGUGAUUCUUACAAGAUCAACCCCUUGUAAUAGAGAGGUAGACAAGAUGGCCAACCACAGAGAAAUGGAAAACAACGCAAACAAAUGCAAUCAAGAGAUUACAAAACUAUUCAUUACAUGAAAGAAGGUUGCUGCCUUAAUGAAGUUGAAUCUGACGAAGAGUAAGAAGGAUCAUGGAUGAUCAUGUGGGGAGGCAUGAUUUGGUUUCAUGCAAUGCAAUGAAUAAAAUAAUGCUUCAAAGGAGUCUCCCAGAUCCAAACAAUACAGAGUUGACACACUGAAAUAAUGGAUCAGAAAGUUGGGGAAAAAAGGCUGAUAGUUUCACACAUGGAGUUCGUGGAUGAGAUUCCUUCAGAUGGAAAUAAACCCUCUAAACGUAUUGUGUGGAGGGAUCUCCCUGUUUUUUGCCUUGUUUUUCUUAUUUGUUGGAAUCAUAAUUGGAUAUUGUAUUCCCCACUGAAUCUUCUAUGUAACACUUGACGAUGUAAUUUUAUGAAUUGGUAUCUUAUUUCAAUGAGAUUUACCUUUUUAUUGA